ensembl:lncRNA
CAGAGGUCAGUGCUGCCAGGUACCUGAGGCCCCUGGACCAGGAAGGGACAGUCCGGUGCUGGUGUCAGGAGACCAUUCCGUGUAUGCCCAAAUGAGCCACAAGACCCCGAAAGAGCGACCUCUCUGAGCCUUCGUUUGCGCUUCUGUAAAAUGAGAAUGCGGAGAUCCCUGCGUGCUGACUCCGAGGGGCUUCGGAUGCAGAGUCCAAGAAGAGAGCCUUUGGCGGACUGGGUUAGAGCAGCAUCGGUGGAGGGAGUUGUAUUUCUGUGUAAGUGACGCUCAGAGAGGUCGAACGUCUCAGGGGAGGUCACACAGCGGGGAGAGGCAGCUGACUUUCCGGACUUCACAUUUCAAAUUCAGACUCGGCGCAAGUCUCCUCCACCCCUCCUUGUCGCUCCUGGAACCCGGGCACCCCCCGGCGCUCUGCGGAGCCUGGUUGCUGUGAGUAAGAGUACAGAAAGCGAUCUCUCGCGGUGGGUUCCGCCGCCCCAGCUCGCUGUGAGCCCAUGGCGCCCCCUUGCGCUCGUGGCCGGAGGCGCACCCGGCUCCUGGCCCGGCCCCUGCCGUCUAGCAUCUGACUCCUCCGCCUCUGUUUGCGAUGAUGCUGGAGAGGGUUGAUGAGCUUCAGACAGGGUGACUGGAGGUCACACAGGGAUGCGCUUCGUAUACCGUGUACUUCGUAAACUGUAAAGCAUGGUACGCACUCGGUCCCAGUGUUUGGACACCGCCGCAGUUUUCCAUGCGCUUCCACCUCUGUUCUUGAGGUGAGUGAGGCUGGCAGGGCAGGAAUUAUUUGCAGUCUACAAAUGGGGCAGCUGAGACAGACCCACGACCCACAGCCAUUCACUGGCAAGGAGUGGAGCCGGCAUCCAGGUUGCCUCUGCUUUCCUGCCUCCCAUUGCUCCUUGCUCCAGUGGUGGCCUUCUUGUUCUCUUGGAGGUUAAGCAAGAGGACUUUGGAGUUAGAUCUGGGUUGGAAUUUCAUUCUUGUACUGGCUGUGAGAUUGCAGUCAAACCACAGAACCUCUCUGGGCAUCAGUUCUGAACCUGAACACUGGGAUGAGGUGCUUCUCAGACUGUUGGGGGAGGGGUGGAUUAAUGAGACAGGGGUCAAAGCUUGCAGAGCAUGGAGUCAGGCGGCUGGUUCUGGAACAGUAGGUGCUUUCAUCAGGGAAGAUGGCAACUGCUGUGACUACCCCACUGGAAAGGAGGAGGGGUGGAGGACUGUGCUCCUCCUGGGGUGGAUGGUAAGCCUGGCACCUCAGGGGUCUGACCACUUGCUGGGACUUGAGGAGCAGUGGUGGUGGCCUACUGCUCACUGCCUUGCAGUCCACUGACCUUGUCCAGGACCUUAGGCAGGUUCUGGGAGGGCUUCUCCUCAUGAGAGGGGACACGCAGGCCCUGAGAAGGAAGAAGCCACUUCCCUAGAGCCACACAAGGAAAGAUUUAGGGCUUGCCCCAGACACAUGGAGGGUGAGGAGGCCGGGUGAGUGAGGGCUGGGUCUUGGUGGGGAAGUGAGCAAAGGAAGAGGUGGCAGGUAGGGUCCCUGCUCUAUAGAAGAUCCGAGAGGCUUCCAGGGGGGCAGUCUCCCCCUGGAGGCAUCAAGGGGUGACAUAGUAGAAAGGCAGGAGACGUAUUUGAGGCGGGUGAUAGGAACUGAAAGGGCAGUGGAGCUGUUAGCCCCUCCCUCUCUGGGGAGAUACUGGGUCUCGGGGGCAAGAACCCUCCUCAGGGUGAACCAAAGCCAGUGUGGGGAAGGUGGGGCUUCCUGAGCUUGCUCAGGGGCAGGUGUCUGGGUGUGGAUGUGAGGAACUAGCAUCGUUGAGCCCAGUGGUUUGUGAUCUUUUGAAGCAUCAGGAUGAGAGGAGGAUUGCUUCCGCUCCUCCAGAGUUUCUCAUGCAGGUCUGGCGUUAGAGUUGACAUUUCUAACAAGUUCCUGGGUGAUGCUGCUGGUCUGGAGACCAAUUCUGCGACUCAGAGAACUUACCCUGAGGCUCCAAGGCUCACCAGCUCCAUAGUCACAGCACACAUACCGAGGAGCAUGUUUCUGGAGCCAGAAGCUUGACUAGUGGCUUCCGGAUUUGGCAGAUGGCUUCCUGAUGGUUGCAAAAGAAGCGACUGCCUUGGUGGUCCAAGUCUGCAGGGCAGUUUUGGGAGUUGGUCCUGAAGAUACAGCCUAGAAUCUGCUUCUUCAGCUCUUCAACCAUUACUGGUCUUCACUGUGGCGCGUGAACUCCUGCUUGCAGCCUGUGGAGUCUAGUUCC